GGGGCCGUAGCUCAGUUUGGGAGAGCGCCUGGAUCGCACCCAGGAGGUCAGGGGUUCGAGCCCCCUCGGCUCCA
rnacentral:tRNA from 1 species